GUUGUGGGUAACUAAAGAAAGGGGGGCAUCUUCGUAGCCUCCUCUCAUAGCCACUUAUUCUUUUAUUUUUGUUUAUUUGGCAAAGGAUCUAUUAGAGCCCAGGCUGGCCUUGAACUUGUUAUAUUGCUCACUCUGGCCUUGAGUUGCUGAUCCUUCUACCUCAACCUUCCAAUUGUUGAAACCUGAGCAUACAGGAUGUGUUCAGCAUUUUGUUGUCAUCGUGAGACUCAUCUAGCAUCUUCCUGCAAAGAUGUGCUCAAGGGCUGUCAAGGAAGAGCAAGUUUUCCAGCUGGAAGAAAUGGUACUCUGACUGCUCUCCAGCCUAUAGAAAGCUCACUUUUUUUUUUUUUUCAAAAUGGUAGGAACUGCAGCAAGACCAAGAAGGGAGAAAUGGAGCUAGCAAGUAGAGUGCUCUGGGGAACAAGUCAUGAGGGGAGAUGGCAAAGAGACUUGUAACAUGAUAGCAAGCUGUCUGUGUUCUGUGCUGGUAGCAAUGGCACAGCUUUGAAGACAGUGGACAAUGAAUUGGGAGUAGGGGAGAUGACGUUGGGCUAGAGGCUCGCUACACUAACAUAGGUGGGGCCUGUAAUGGUUUGACCCAAAUGAAGAUGAAGUUGGGGUAGUCAUUAGAAGGUCACUACACUAAUUAACAUAGGUGAGACAUAUAAUGGUUUGACCCAAAUGAGGACUGAGAAGAGUUGACUGAUGGCUGGUAUUUCUAUGUAUGGCUUUAAAAGACGAGGGGAUUUGUGUGUUAUACUUGUAACCCCAGCAUUUGAAAGGUAGAGGCAGGAGGAUCAGGAAAUCAAGAUCAUUGGCUACUUAGUGAGUUUGAAGCCAGCCAGGCUGGGUUAUAAGGAAACCCUGUCUCCAAAACCAACCAAACAAAUAAAUAUCAGCCAGAGCCCCCCACCAUCUCACCCCCCUUACUUGAGCCAGAAAAACAAACCAAUUGAAAUUGAUGCGGAGAAAAGUUGGACAGGCUCCUAUCUGGUGCUGAAGACACAGUGCUCUUCAGACAAGGGAAGCAGAAUAUUUGAGCUGGAUCUGAACUGAAAGCCUCCUCCCUGGCUUCCAUAGUACCAGAAGAUGUUGUGUAAGCCACCAAAGGGGAGAAGCAAUAAAUAGUCCUACCUAGCUGUGAGGCCUGUGAACCAUCACAAGGAGCAGCCCUGCAUGAUCCUCCUAAAAUGACAAUAGUGGCACUCAUAUCUUGGCAGUAAUAAAAAUUCUCUAAUUGGACUUAAGACCAGCUCAACAGAAAGGAAUUCAUAUCUAGUACUAGAAACCUUGCCAAAUACCCGAGGCUAGUGAGCCAUGGACCUUAGAGCAGAACCUAGUGAAGACACUUUACUCAGCCAGCAUAAUUCCCAACAGCAUUCUAAACAAGCAUAUUUAUACUGACAGGUGUGUGUAACCUCUCACCCCUCAUCAAAGAGGCUUUCCUUUGCAGCUGAUGGAGAUUACCAUGGAAACCACAACUAGUCAGAAUACAGAGACCCCAACUGAUCAUGGGGUGCCCAGCCCCAAAGGAUCUAUCAACACAAUCCCUACACCCAAGGCUCAAGGAACAUCAUGAAGCGGGGCCAGAGAGACCUAAGUGUCAGAAGAAUGGGACAUCGGCUGGGAGUGCUGUGAAACUGUGUCUCCUAGAGAUGACAAGAAAGCCACACCCAUGAUAACUCAACAAUAUGGCUGCCUAGACAAGACCCAAACAAUGACAACACUAAUGUUAUACUGACUGACAUGCAAGCAGUAAAUCUCAAGGAGUCCCAGCCCUAGACCCAGAACUGCAGUCAACUCGCAAUUGUUGAGACAGGGAGAAUUAAUCUUCCCCAGCAAUGAAUCCCCCAAUCAGUUAUUUAAUACCAAGUGGUCAGACCUGAAUCAUCAUGUAUAUACAAGAGAUACUAAAUGGUCUCAUCAAGCUGUGUUUACAUACUUACCUGUGCACAUGUGUGCACACAUGUACACACACAUGUACACACACACACACACACACACACACACACACACACACACACACACACCCUCUUAAUACUUAAUAAAUGUAAUAAGAAAAUUUAAGUGGCUUAGGAAACUUAGAUUGAGAACCAAAAGCAUGGAGCGCCCCUCAUGUCUCGUGGAUCCCUCUCUGGCCAAUCUCAUCCCUAGGGAAUAGUGCUGAAACAACAAGGAACCAUUCUGAGGCAGCAGAACACAAAGCCAGAGGUCUAUGACCAAAGAACCAGGGGAAGAAGCUCAGUCUUGGCUAAGUAGUGCCCCAUUCUGGAGACAAUGAUUAAACAACCAGAGGGGAGUGAAAUGCAGGUGGGAACUCUGGAUGGCAUAUGACACUGGACGUCAGUGGCUGGAGGGUUAGCAGAUGGAGAUGAAUUUGGUUGCCUGUACCUUUACCUGGAAGUGUUUAUCCUCUAUCAGUUUCAAAGUUUUAGGUCUUAUAUUAAGAUCCGUGAUCCAUUUUUAAUUCAUUUUUUUUUGUAUCAGAUGAGAAGCACAGACAGGUCCAGUUUUGUUAUUUUUUUUUUUUUGUCUGUGUAUUUGCUUGUGUCCAUGCUGGCCUCCACCUCACUAUGCAGCUGAGGAUGGCCCUCAACUCCUGCUCCCCUAUUUCUAGUUCCCAAGUCUUGGUAUUAUAGGCAUAUAUAAUCAUACCUCGUUUAGUUUCAACCUUUUACAUGCAGAUAUCAGUUUUCCCAGGAUAAGUUGUUGAAGAGGGUGCCUUUUUCCCAAUGGUUAUUUUUGACACUUCUGAUGAAAAUGGAGUGUUUUAGUUGUGCAGGUUUGUUUCUGGUUCCUCUAUUCUAUCACACUGGUCCGUGAGUCUCUUUUUGUGACAGUACCACAUAGCUUUUGUCACUAAGGCUCCGUGGUACAAUUUGAGAUUGGAUACUGUGUUUCCUCUCACAUUCUUCCUUCUGUUUAGCGCUUCUUAGGCUAUUUGUGUUCUUUCACACAUCCACCGGAAUUUUAGGAUUUUUUUCUGUAUUUUUUGAGAAGAAUUUCAUCAGAAUAUUGAUAGAAAUUGCUUUGACUCUUU
ensembl:lincRNA